GAAAGAGGCAGAUGUAGAGGACAGGGUGGUAUGGAGACUGAUGAUCCGCUGUGAAGACCCCUAAUGGGAGCAGCCGAAAGAAGAAGAAGAAACUAGCAUCCUAAAUGUUCUUAAGUUUGUGGAGACUCAAAGCUUCAUGCCAUCUUUGUGAUUAACUGAACAUUAGCUGUGACACGCACACAAUUUGCACUCUCCAGGUGACUGACAUUCAGCAAAAUAUGCACGAAAAAACGAAGGCAACCUAACCCAGCAAUUUCACACUUGAAUUAAACGUCAAUAAAACACAGUUGAAGAUACACUUUUGAAUUGCAGG